rnacentral:tRNA from 4 species
GGGGUGGAGCAGCCCGGUAGCUCGUCAGGCUCAUAACCUGAAGGUCACAGGUUCAAAUCCUGUCCCCGCAACCA